rnacentral:piRNA from 1 species
UCCUCACCACACUGACGGCUCUGAAA